rnacentral:rRNA from 1 species
AUUGAACGCUGGCGGCAUGCCUUACACAUGCAAGUCGAACGGCAGCACGGGAGCAAUCCUGGUGGCGAGUGGCGAACGGGUGAGAAAAGUAUCGGAACGUGCCCAGUCGUGGGGGAUAACGUAGCGAAAGUUACGCUAAUACCGCAUACGAUCUAUGGGUGAAAGCGGGGGAUCGCAAGACCUCGCGCGAUUGGAGCGGCCGAUAUCAGAUUAGGUAGUUGGUGGGGUAAAGGCUCACCAACCGACGAUCUGUAGCUGGUCUGAGAGGACGACCAGCCACACUGGGACUGAGACACGGCCCAGACUCCUACGGGAGGCAGCAGUGGGGAAUUUUGGACAAUGGGCGAAAGCCUGAUCCAGCCAUGCCGCGUGCAGGAUGAAGGCCUUCGGGUUGUAAACUGCUUUUGUACGGAACGAAAAGGUUUGGCCUAAUAAGCUGAGCUCAUGACGGUACCGUAAGAAUAAGCACCGGCUAACUACGUGCCAGCCGCCGCCGUAA